UACGGGGGGGGCAAGCGUUGUUCGGAAUUACUGGGCGUAAAGGGCGCGUAGGCGGCCUGCUAAGUCGGAUGUGAAAUCCCUCGGCUCAACCGAGGAACUGCAUCCGAUACUGGCGGGCUUGAAUCCGGGAGAGGGAUGUGGAAUUCCAGGUGUAGCGGUGAAAUGCGUAGAUAUCAGGAAGAACACCCGUGGCGAAGGCGGCUCUCUGGGACGGUACUGACGCUGAGACGCGAAAGCGUGGGGAGCGAACAGG
rnacentral:rRNA from 1 species